rnacentral:rRNA from 1 species
UACGGGGGGGGCAAGCGUUGUUCGGAAUUACUGGGCGUAAAGGGCUCGUAGGUGGCCAACUAAGUCAGACGUGAAAUCCCCAGGCUCAACUUGGGAACUGCGUCUGAUACUGGAUGGCUUGAAUUCGGGAGAGGGAUGUGGAAUUCCAGGUGUAGCGGUGAAAUGCGUAGAUAUCUGGAGGAACACCGGUGGCGAAGGCGGCAUCCUGGACCGGUAUUGACGCUGAGGCGCGAAAGCUAGGGGAGCAAACGGG